rnacentral:antisense_RNA from 1 species
UUUUCCAGAGAAGAGAAGCUUUACUGGUGUUCCAGCCCUAAGGCUCAUAUGACAUUAACAGACAAGACACUUUUCAGAAAGACAGGUAAGUCAUUUGUUAAAAUCUCACUACUGUUGUUUAACAGAAACAUAUAUAUGCAUGUAUAUGUGUGUACUGUAUGGAAAAAGUGGAAUUAGAGUUUAUCUAGAAAAGAAAAAAUUACCUCAUCUAAGUGCAGAAAUGAAUAAUACUUAAACCAUACCAUACAAUUCUCUAUCAUAUUUCCACAGAUAAGUCAAAAAAUUUUAAAAUCUUAUUGUUCAUGCAUAAAUGCAGAAAACAAUACCUCUAGUAUAUGUUUGUGUUCUAUUGUACUUUCACAGAAGGUGUUUGAUACUUAAUACUAUGUUUAUUAAGAAAAAUCUUUGCAAUGGUUAUGGAAUUAAAAUUUCAUGUAAAAAUGAUUAUGUAGAUCAAGAAAAGUUGCAAUUUUCUGGAUUCCUGAUAUUUUAAAUAAAAGUAGUUUCCAAAGG